rnacentral:sRNA from 1 species
UGUGGACAGGGCAAAAA